GGGGAUUUAGCUCAGUGGUAGAGCGCUUGCCUAGCAAGUGCAAGGCCCUGGGUUCAAUCCUCA
rnacentral:tRNA from 1 species